AAGACAUGUGGUUUAAGUGAUGAUUAUAGUUGUGAAGUUGAUGUAACAUGUCUUGUUAAGAAACAAUGUGAUGGUCUACAUGAGUGUAAUAUAACUGUGGAUGACAAUUUGUUCUCUGGUGAUCUAUGUCCUGGAUUGUCAAACUAUCUUUACUUUAAAUAUCAAUGUGUUGAUACUGUGAAACCUUUUAAAGAACCUUGUGGUACGAAUGAGUAUAAGUCCAGACUCAUUCCGAGUCGCUUUCAAUUAUAUUAAGUACUUGCAGAUUUUAUAAUAUUAUCACAGAAUAAGGUACACAGAAGGCCGACUUCUUGGUUUUUCCUAUGAUUUUCCUAUGAUUUUGGCCAGGUAAAUAAAUAAAUAAUCACACGGGUAAGUCGUGCAAUUAAUGAUUAGCCAGAUUUUGGCGUAACCCGUAAUUCGUCAUCCAAUGCUGACGCCAUGGUCCUAGCCAGUGCGCGUUUGAGAGGCAUUCACCCCUUUGAUAUUAUUUAAAAUGGCGGACAUCCAGGGGGGGAAUGCCUCUCAAACGCGCACUGGCUAGGACCAUGGCGUCAGCAUUUUGAUGAUGAAUCAUGGCGUGCAGCGGUUACUCGAGUCGACCUUAUGUGUGCCUUAUUCUGUGAUAUUAUUUUGUAAUUCCUCUUUAUUAGCAUUUAUUUUUUGUUCUCAACAAUAUUCAAGCAAUUGUCAGGCGGCUGGAGCCAAGAGCGGGCGCGCGGGCUAUAUAUAGAAAUACCUAUAUCGUCCCUAAUAACGCGCUAAAUUCAAAUUGAUACAACAAUUAGGGACAAGACUGUUAUAAAUCAGUUUAUUGAUGGUUACAACUUAAAUUAUCAAUAAUUGGUUUUGAAAAGCUGUGCACAAGACAAGUUCCCAUAGUGUUUAAAAAUGUUAUUUACCACACACUUGUGCAUAUUCCCCACAUAUUAGUAAGAACCACUAUAUCCUUUUUAAGUAGCAAAAUAAGCAAUAACUAACCUUAUUCUUCCCACUUUUUGUAGUUUAUGACGUGUCUCUAUCAUAUUCAUCUUUACCUUACAAAGGUGUUGUACAAAUUACCACUGAUAGUGGGACCAAGAAUGUUUGUUGGGAAAGUUUACAACAAAAUUAUUGGGCCAAGCACAUUGUUUGUCGUCACCUGGGAUAUUACUGGGUAUACUCUCUUUUUAAUGUAUCCACUCCAACGGAUGCCAAAAAUGCAACAUUUUCUGGAAGUAUAAACUGUAAUGGUGGAGAGAAAUACUUAUCCCAGUGUUCAAUUAAUGCUUCGGCCAGCGACAGUUGUUCUGAGUUAUCAUACAUACAAUGUAAGUGUAGUAAGAUAAAACGAAUAGAAUGCAGAGAUAAAAGAAAGGAGGAAAGAAUAUAAAAAGAAAUAGAAAGUAAAUAGUUAGAGGAAGAAUGAAGCAACAACCUCAUUGGGG
rnacentral:lncRNA from 1 species